rnacentral:rRNA from 1 species
GUAGGAGGGCGAGCGUUAUCCGGAUUUAUUGGGGCGUAAAGAGCGCGUAGGCGGGCCUGUUAAGUCAGUUGUGAAAUCUCCCAGCUUAACUGGGAGGGGUCAACUGAAACUGAUGGGCUUGAGAGCAGCAGAGGGAGGUGGAAUUCCCGGUGUAGCGGUGAAAUGCGUAGAGAUCGGGAGGAACACCAGUGGCGAAGGCGGCCUCCUGGGCUGUUUCUGACGCUGAGGCGCGAAAGCGUGGGGAGCAAACAGGAUUAGAUACCCUGGUAGUCCACGCUGUAAACUAUGGACACUAGGUAUGGGGGGUAUCGACCCCCUCCGUGCCGAAGCUAACGCUAUAAGUGUCCCGCCUGGGGAGUACGGCCGCAAAGGCUA